GACUCGAGCAAUCAUACCUUGUGUUGUUGGUUUAGUGUUUGGAAGAGUUUAGAACAGAGGGUACAUGUAAAGAAACAGUAGAUUAAUUUGAGCCGGACAUGCUGGUAGUGUCGAUCAACAAUCAGCCAUUGGUCCGACUCCGAGCGAAUCGUGCGUGGGGUGGCGCGGAUUCAGAUCCUCUGCAGUCGGGCACCGCGACGUCGCUCUGCAGUCAAGCAAAUCCACCGUCCACCCGCGAUCCUACGAUGCUUCCCCUGAUGGCUCACGCGCUCCGCUCUCCUGGCCGACGGUUGACUCGCCAACAGGAGGACGCCGAUUUCCUUCUCAUUCGAUGCAUCCUCUGCAGCUCCGCACGCCGCCGCAAAGCGUCGGACCCCUCGCCGCCGGAUUCCCUCGCCGCCCAGCCUCCUCCCUCCUUCCCCGCCGCAGUCGUUCGCUCUCCUCCAUGAGCACCGCCGCGGUGACCUGCCGCGCGCCGCAAGCUGUUGCCGGCGCCCUCGAAGCCCGCGAUAGGCGGCAGCGACGGCGACGCGGACGGCGGGCCGCCCAGCGCCAGCAGCCGCGUAGCCACCGCCGGCGGCAGCGCGGACGGCGAGUCGCCCAGCGGGGGCAGCACCGUGGCCACCGGCACGGCGGCGUGCGGCCCAGCGCCCAGGGAUUUCCAGGCUCACCGUUUGGGCAGGCUCCACCUCCAGACAUACAGUCAGUGCAGUUUCUCAGUAGCAAUCCUCAACUGAGCCACCAGACUACAGAUCAAGGCCAACUGGUGGUACAGCCGACAAAGUUGAAGAAAUAGAGCAAGACUGUAUAACUUGUGAUUGUAUCUAAAGUAGCAAAAUCAUGCAAAUUGUAAAGAUUGACAGUGUGUUGUAAAUUUACUUGGAAUUGAAUAAGAAGUGAUGCUAAUUAUUUCAAGUUCAGAGAUGCACAAAA